UUUUUUUGUGAAGUUAGCGAUAGAUAGGGAAUGUAAACAAAGUCUAACAGCUGAUUGGCUCAUAAUGUAAACAAAGUCUAACAGCCUGAUUGGCUCAUAGCCUCGUAACCGGCGCGGGUUUUUAGAAAUUUAUUGGGUACCAAUGGACGAGAUGACACAUUCUCUAACAGUAUAAUUGAAAAGUAUAUAUUAAAUCCAGAAAUGGCCAACAAUAGACCGUUGAUUUUUGCAUUGGUAAUAUUAUCUUAUGUAACCGCUUUAGAAAUUGACAAAAAUGGUUACAUUUUAUAUUGCCCUUGCAUGGGUCGAUUUGGCAACCAGGCUGACCAUUUUCUUGGCGUUCUAGCAUUUUCAAAAGGACUGGACCGAACAUUAGUGCUGCCUCCUUGGGUGGAGUAUCAGUAUGGAAGACCAACUUCAAUUCAAGUUCCUUUCAAGAAUUAUUUCCAAGUGUCCCCACUGGAGGAGUACCACCGGGUGAUGACCAUGGAAGACUUCAUGCAGGACAUUGCUCCAGCUGUGUGGCCUGAGGAAGCCAGAACAGUUUUGUGCUACAUGCCAAGGUUUGGAUCUGAAGACUGCAACGCUAAGGAAGGAAGUCCAUUUGGGCCAUUCUGGGACACCUUUGAUGUAAACUUUGUUAAUUCAUCUUUUUACCGUCCAUUAACGUACGACGUUCACCACGGCAGCACUGUUCUGGAUUGGGCCAAAAAUUAUCCUCCCCAUGAAUGGCCUGUGUUAGCGUUCACGGGAGCACCUGCUUCGUUCCCGGUCCAGAAGCAGAACCGAGCCCUGCAGGAGUACCUUGUCUGGAGCGACGACAUUGAUGCCAAGGCUCAGAACGUAAUCGACAGUUUCCCCAGAGGUCCUUUUGUCGGCAUUCACUUGAGAAACGGAGUAGACUGGGAGCGUGCAUGCGAACACGUGGAGCAGAGCCCCAACCUGUUCGCUGCUCCCCAGUGCCUUGGCUACCUCAACGAGCGAGGCCGCGCCACGCACGAGCUCUGCCUGCCGUCCUUCUCUACCAUCGUCAAGCAAAUCAAACGAGCUAUUAAAAAAGUUAAUGCGUCCAUCAUCUUCGUGGCCUCGGACCACGACCACAUGAUGGACCAGCUCACUGAAGCCUUCAGCAAGCUCAAGGUUAUUGUCAAACCUCCUCCUACUUCCAUGUUCUCAUAACUUUGCCAUUUAUAACACAUACUUCAAACUAAUUAUAGUUGCAAAUCAAACGAGCUAUUAAAAAAGUGAAUGCAGCCAUCUUCGUGGCCUCGGACCACGACCACAUGCUGGACCAGCUCACUGAAGCCUUCAGCAAGCUCAAGGUAAAAGUUCUGCACAGCGAUGGUGCUGGUCCACACGUUGAUCUCGCAGUACUGGGCAGAGCCAAUCAUUUCAUUGGCAACUGCAUUUCAUCCUUCAGUGCGUUCGUGGUCAGGGAGAGGGACGUACAUGGAUUGCCCUACUCUUUCUGGGCCUUUCCAUUGAAAAAAUCUGCUAAGGCCUCUAGCCUACACCAGGAAUUAUGAUUCUUUACCUAUUCCAUCUCACAAAUGUACCAUACAAAAAUUUUCACUGUGGCUUUCCAAAGCAUUAUUUAUUAUAUUUAGAGCUAAUCAGAGUUUUCAUCAUUGAUCUUUUUACUCUAAUAUGCUUCAAUUGUACAAUUCCAUCUCAGAAUUUCUUAUACAUUCUUGUAUAUAGCGUCAAAAAAAUGUUUUUGUGCUCUGUUCAUGCUAGACUAGAUUUUUAAAUCGGAUGAUAAGAAAGUCGUUCGGUGCUGUCGAGGUCCUUAUAUACGAUUUGUACAUUUCUAUUGAUCAAUCUUGCAAAAGUAUUUAUUGUUGUGACUUUGAACGAAUUUUUUUUCAGGCUUCUUAUUACAAGUUAUAGUUUUGUGUUUGUUCUCGUCAAUAUUUUUGCUAAUGCUCGUUUCUGAACAUGCUUAACAAGGACCCUUGUGCUCAUAAUAAUUUUUUGUGUAUUUUAAAAAUACUGCAAUACUGAGCAUUUAUUGAGUUUGACAAAUUAAAACGACAAUGGUCCUAUUUGAUUUUUAAAUGCAUAAAAUUUUCUUGUUUUUCGUGCAAUUUCACGCUAAUUCUUGUGUAAAAAUAAGGAAUUAAAAUAAUUUGGUAACAUUA
rnacentral:misc_RNA from 1 species